rnacentral:rRNA from 1 species
GACGCACGCUGGCGGCGUGCCUAAUACAUGCAAGUCGAACGCAGUGGGGACGGGUGAGUAACACGUGGGUAACCUCCCAUCAGAGGGGAUAACACUUGGAAACAGGUGCUAAACCGAUACUGAUGGAUGGACCCGCGGUGCAUUAGCUAGUUGGUGAGGUAACGGCUCACCAAGGCCACGAUGCAUAGCGGACCUGUGAGGGUGAUCUGCCAAACUGGGACGGAGACACGGCCCAGACUCCUACGUGAGUGAGCAGUAGGGAAUCUUCGGCAAUGGGCGAAAGUCUGAACGAACAACGCCGCGUGAGUGAAGAAGGUUUUCGGAUCGGAAAACUCUGUUGUUAGAGAAGCGGUAUCUAACCGGAAAGCCACGGCUAACGACGGGCCAGCAGCCGCGGUAAUAC